AGAGGUCCCGCCUGCCCGGUGACUGUAAGUUUAACGGCCGCGGUAUUUUGACCGUGCAAAGGUAGCGCAAUCACUUGUCCUUUAAAUGAAGACCUGUAUGAAUGGCACCACGAGGGCUCAACUGUCUCCUUUUUCCUGUCAAUGAAAUUGAUCUCCCCGUGCAGAAGCGGGGAUUUUAACAUAAGACGAGAAGACCCUAUGGAGCUUCAGGCGCCAGAGUAGCCUAUGUUAAGCACCCCCCACAAAAGACAAAACUAACUAGACCCUACUCCAAUGCCUUUGGUUGGGGCGACCGCGGGGAAACAAAAAACCCCCAUGUGGAUUAAGAGCACACUUUACUCCUACAGCCCAGGGCUACCACCCUAAGAAACAGAACCUCUGACCAACAAAAGAUCCGGUAUGACCGAUCAACGGACCGAGUUACCCUAGGGAUAACAGCGCAAUCCCCUUCUAGAGUCCAUAUCGACAAGGGGGUUUACGACCUCGAUGUUGGAUCAGGACAUCCUACUGGUGCAGCCGCUAUUAAGGG
rnacentral:rRNA from 1 species